rnacentral:sRNA from 1 species
UACAAAUACGUUGAUAUACGGGAUGCAA